rnacentral:ncRNA from 1 species
CGGCGGGACAUCCCUCCCCAACGAGGGACGCCCAUCUGUGAGGAUGGAGACA